GACUAUCUGCUUGUUAAAUUACUCCCACUGUAGAGAACAAAAAACCAAUUUGCUGAAAUCUUUGUUUCCCUCUAUGACCCUAUCUUUAUCUGUAAAAUCUCAGCUCUGAAUCAAAGUCACAAUCCAGCUUUUCCAUCACUGGGGAACAGAGCAUUUACGCUCAUCUGAAACCUCAUCUGCCCAGCCUGUGAAAUAAGGCUGGCCAUCCAUUCUCACAGAGGAGCCAACUGGAGGUGGUGUCACAUUAGAACACCCUCAUCUCUGAAGAUCUUUGCAUUAAGGAACUCUACCUUUGCCCUUGAUCAACUGAACUCAGAGUUAUGAUAAACUCAGAGACCUACAUGGAACAAUGUUUUCUACGUCUUAUCUCCCAUGAGUUGUUCAUGUCAGGGAGUAUAGUCCACCAAGUAAACACUAAGCAGUGUCUCAAAAGCAUCGGAUACUAAAAGGAGGACAUGCAGGGCUGGGUGUGGACCGCCAUUCAGUGCCUUAGUGCAAAGAAGAAAGAGAUCAGACAUCAAUAUUCCUGAUCAGUCCACCAAGAAGAAACUGGGACUUUAUUGUGCCAAAAAGAAGAAAAAACAAGGAAUAAAACAACCAAAUUCUUUUAAACAUCAUUACACGAAUGUGAUUCUUAAUUCCGUAUGACAAAUAUAAAGUGCUUUCCUGGUUUGGGACUCAAUAUAAAGCCGAUGUUAAUCUCAUGCUACCUUCCCAGCCAAUAACACAAAAUAUUUUAAGACAACAAAAGGCAGAAAGACAAAAAACAACCCAACAGAAAAAUAAAUAUUACAUCUGA